UACGUAGGGUGCAAGCGUUGUCCGGAAUUAUUGGGCGUAAAGAGCUCGUAGGCGGUUUGUCACGUCUGCUGUGAAAACUCGGGGCUUAACUCCGGGCCUGCAGUGGGUACGGGCAGACUAGAGUGCGGUAGGGGAGACUGGAAUUCCUGGUGUAGCGGUGAAAUGCGCAGAUAUCAGGAGGAACACCGGUGGCGAAGGCGGGUCUCUGGGCCGAUACUGACGCUGAGGAGCGAAAGCGUGGGGAGCAAACAGG
rnacentral:rRNA from 1 species